CCUACGGGAGGCAGCAGUGGGGAAUAUUGCACAAUGGGGGGAACCCUGAUGCAGCGACGCCGCGUGAGUGAAGAAGUCUUUCGGUAUGUAAAGCUCUAUCAGCAGGGGAGAAAAUGACGGUACCUGACUCAGAAGCCCCGGCUAACUACGUGCCAGCAGCCGCGGUAAUACGUAGGGAGCAAGCGUUAUCCGGAUUUACUGGGUGUAAAGGGAGCGCAGACGGCUGUGCAAGUCUGGAGUGAAAGGCGGGGGCCCAACCCCCGGACUGCUCUUGAAACUGUAAAGCUGGAGUGCAGGAGGGGGAAGCGGAAUUCCUAGUGUAGCGGUGAAAUGCGUAGAUAUUAGGAGGAACACCAGUGGCGAAGGCGGCUGACUGGACUGCAACUGACGUUGAGGCUCGAAAGCGUGGGGAGCAAACAGGAUUAGAUACCCCUGUAGUC
rnacentral:rRNA from 1 species